rnacentral:misc_RNA from 1 species
CAUAUAAUUACCAUCUAAAACCUAGCCGCCAAAGUCUCCACUUUCCUUAAUUGACGGUCCGAUCCCGUUCCUCACCAGUCUCAACUCGUCUCUCUCUAUAAUCUCUUUCGUCCGAUUUAACUCCGGCCACUGUCUGCUCUCAUCUCAGCUUGCUUGAAAUUAUUCUACUUUUCAUAAAAAAUUUCCCCAAUUUCUCCUAUCUUUUUACUCGUUACUUCUGGCUUCUAAAAGACCUCGCCAGUGAUUCUUUGGAUGGGGUAUAAGUUUUGAUCUUUAGGAGCAAGCUCACGUGAAUUAGGAGGAAUAUGGAAGGAAUUGUUGGUGCGAAUUUAUUGACCUAUUGCAAGUACUGAACUGAGUAAGAGUCAAAGAGGAAGCAUUGGCUGACGAGAUUCAGUUUCAUUCAAAAUGGAGACUUGCAACUGUGUUGAGCCACAAUGGCCAGCUGAGG